rnacentral:rRNA from 1 species
UGAUCCGGUGGUUCUGAAUGGAAGGGCCAUCGCUCAACGGAUAAAAGGUACUCCGGGGAUAACAGGCUGAUACCGCCCAAGAGUUCAUAUCGACGGCGGUGUUUGGCACCUCGAUGUCGGCUCAUCACAUCCUGGGGCUGAAGUAGGUCCCAAGGGUAUGGCUGUUCGCCAUUUAAAGUGGUACGCGAGCUGGGUUUAGAACGUCGUGAGACAGUUCGGUCCCUAUCUGCCGUGGGCGCUGGAGAAUUGAGGGGGGCUGCUCCUAGUACGAGAGGACCGGAGUGGACGCAUCACUGGUGUUCGGGUUGUCAUGCCAAUGGCACUGCCCGGUAGCUAAAUGCGGAAGAGAUAAGUGCUGAAAGCAUCUAAGCACGAAACUUGCCCCGAGAUGAGUUCUCCCUGAGACUUUAAGUCUCCUGAAGGAACGUUGAAGACGACGACGUUGAUAGGCCGGGUGUGUAAGCGCAGCGAUGCGUUGAGCUAACCGGUACUAAUGAACCGUGAGGCUUAACCUUACAACGCCGAAG